CCAUGGAUAUGGUGUCUUAUUUAAAAUGUAUCUCAGAAAUUUCAGUCCUCAUAACAUUUCAUGUUUCUGAAAUACUAAUACAACAGUUUCAGCUUAUUUUGGAAAUCAUUUAGCAUUCAAACUGAAAUGUGUGUGUCAAAUUUGAGCAUUAAGCUAAUCCUGACUGGCAAAACUGUAAGAGUUGAAGGAAUAGCUGUACUUUUGUAAUGGAAAUACCAGCUCACCCUUAAGGGUUUGGUACAUGGAUAUAUUAAUGGAUUUAUAAUUCAUCAGAGGUUACAGAAGGUAUCUGUAGCUACUUUAUAUCCACAAUUUAACAAAAUGGUUUGCUUCUGUUGAAUGAAUGAUCUGUUUGAAAUAAGCAUGUUUUAAAUGGGGACUUAGGGGUCAAGUUCAUUAAAUGAAGAUAUACAGUGUACACUUUGCAGAUUUAUAUUGUUUGCUCUUUUUCUCUUAGGAAGCCUGACAAAUAGGAAAAUACUACAAAGUGAAGAGAAAAUUCACGAGAACUGAGCUCUGCUUUCAGUGGCUUUUAAAUUUUAUUUAUAUUAAUAACUGAUUAGUGUCAGAUCAUCUCUGUAGUCUACUGUGGUGAAAUUAUUAGGUUAAAGCUGGAAAAAAUGAAACAAUUAAAAAGAAAAAGGAAAAGCAAUUUUAGCGUUCAGGAAACUCAAACACUCCUUAAGGAAAUCAGGAAAAGGAGAGAAGUACUCUUUUCAAAGCAACUUAAUACAACAAUUAAUGAGUUGAAACGAAAAGCUUGGGAGGAUAUAGCAGAGUGUGUAAAUGCUGUAGGUGAAGGAGAACAAAGAACAGGGACAGAAGUGAAAAGGAGAUACCUUGACUGGAGAGCACUUAUGAAGAGAAAACGUCUGAAUGCAAACAUCAAAGUAGUAGGUGCUGGGUUUCACCUUCCUUCAUCCAAUUUAGAUGACUCUCUCAAUGAAGACAUGGAUGAGAAAAUGGGAUUUGCAAUUGAAUCUAGUUUUGAAUGGCAAAAUAUCACUGACUUCAGAGAAGCCGGUGGAUCUUUAACAGAAAUCAAAGUAGAAGAGGAAGAGGAGGAUCCACAGAAUUUUGAAUUUCCUAUUGAGGAAGAAGAAGAAAUUUUGUCAUCAGUUUUGCCAGAUUCAAAAAAGGAAAAUGACCUACCAGAAUUCCCCCAGAUUGAAGAGUUUGGAAGUAUAAACUCUGUUCAAGCUAGGCUAGCCUAUGAAGAUUCUCACUUGCUUAUAAAUCUGGAGAAGCAGAAGGUGGAGCUGGAGAAGCAGCGACUAGAUAUUGAAGCGGAAAGGUUGCAAGUGGAGAAGGAGCGCCUGCAAAUAGAAAAAGAGCGGUUGCGGCAUGUUGAUGUGGAGCGUGAGAGACUUCAGAUUGAGAAGGAGCGGCUUCAGAUCGAAUGGGAGAAGCUGAGGCUAGAGAGACUGAAUGCUGAAAAACCUGCCCUGGAAAAUGACCUCACCCAAACUGAAAAACCCAUCAUGCAGCCACUGGAUCUAGAAACUGAGAAGUUAAAACUUGAAAAAGAACGUUUGCAGUUAGAGAAAGAGAGGCUGCAGUUCCUAAAGUUUGAGUCAGAGAAGCUGCAGAUCGAGAAGGAACGCUUGCAAGUGGAGAAGGAGCGCCUUCGAAUUCAGAGAGAGGGUCACUUGCAGUGAACUUCUCAAUGGAAGUGUCAACGUUAGCGUUUUGAUGUUUGUAAAAUAGAGGUAGUUUUUUUCUUAAUACUGAGAUUGUCCUAGAGGCGAAACAUUCUUUUGUUCAGAGUUGAAUGUUAAUGUUAAAAUGAAAAAGAAAGGAAAAGGAGAAAAAAAAGGCAAGGAAAAAGAUGGUGCUCAGUAUGUCUGUGUGCCUACAUAAAUGAGCUUAUGUGUGAAGUUGCUUUUCAGUGUAUCAGAAUAAGUGUUAUAUUCUCUUGUCUUCAGUAUUGUAUUGUAUUAGUUUGGUGUCCUCCAUCCUCCUCUCAUAGGUGUAUUGAGAAGAAGCAAGGCUGAACACUGUACUUUUUUCACUGUGCUAACAGUAAGAAAGGAUAAGAACAAAUCAACAUAUGUUGUGAGGACACGGUGCUGAUGAUACACCACACAGUAAGUGCAAGUUAGACACAACAACAGAGUUGUGAUGAGAUUGAUUCAUUAAACUUAAUUUCUCCAUUUUGUUUUUUUUCCACCCUCGCAAUUGGAAAAAGAGUUCAAGAAUUAUGAGCAAGUUAAAGUACAAGAUAAAUUCACUGUUUACUGUUGUUCCAUGGCCUGAACGGGAGUGCAGAAAACAGUGUUCUUCCUUUUGCAUGAAGUACUCAUACUAGAUAAAGUUACAUAUCAACCAUACCUACUGCAAGCUGGACUGUUGGUUGUACCAGGCUGGAACACGGCACCUGGGUUUGCAUAGCAUAGGGACUUACUGACUGAUGAGGCAUGGUGUCUGACGUCUGUGAUGGCCCCCUGGAGUAAAUUGCUAAAUCUGCUUUGUUCUUUGAAAGACAGUACCCAGUGAUGGGAGUCUUGGGAGUGAAGAGACAGAACACUCUUGUUAGUUCUGCCUGGCCAGAACUGAGAUCAUGUCUAUGAGGCAGCCAGAAGAAGCUUCUGUGGCUGACACCAUAUAGUAUGCUUUAAUUAGACAGAUGGUCAGUGCUGAAGGCUGUCAGUAUUUUUUUGUUUUUCAUAAGCAGUGUAGUCAUUGAAUAAUUAAAAAAAUGAAGCUUUCUAUUAUUUCAUACGUGUUUAAAUCCCAGCUGAGCCAGACUUCACAUUUCUUACCUUUCUGUGAGGUGCUAUGUUUUGUUGACUCCAUUUGAAACUUAGGAAUAUGAGAAUACUAAAUCUGAAUAUAUGUUGAGUGACUUACGUGGAUUCUUGUGCAAGUAAAUAUAUUUAUACCACUACAGGAUUACUUUUAUUCUGCAAAGAAAAUGUUAUUUUUUUAUUCCUGAAACAAGUGUGCUUCUACAGUGCAAAUAAAUUUGACUGCUACAAUCCAAAA